AAGAGAGAAUGAGAAAGAGAGCAAAAGCACAGCUUGUUUUUCAUUUGGUUUCAGUUUUCAUUUAUAUAAUAUAAAAAGUUUCAAACAAAUCCCAGUGGAUUUUGCAUUGUUUUCGCUUUGGUCAGCAUAUAGUUUAUUCGAUAAAUGCAGCGAUUUUUUUUCAUUUAAUUCGCAAAAAAAGAGAGAAACGAUAUACAGUGUGCGCAACUGAGUGCAAACACUAUUGUUGGAUUUUGAUUUCAAAGAUAGUUUAAUUCGGUUAGUGUGCUGUUUAAGACACCUGAAGCGUCAUCGUAGUUGUUCAGUGCCAAACGUGCAACAAGUAGCCUUUUUUCACAAAAAAUAAAAUAGACGUGGUUUUUUUUCUUCAAUAUGAUAUCGAUUUGGAUCAAUUCAAUUUUAUUGAUUACAUUAGUGUCAGUAUCAAUAAUUCAAUCAGAAAUGAUUGAAAAAUCGGAACCACCAACCAUUGGCUAUGAAGCAGAUUAUGAGAUUCCAGUGAAACCAUCGAUGACCGGAAUGUCAUUCGUUGCAUAUAUUAUCGAACAGGGCGAUUUAAUUGUGAAGAAAAAAUGUUCGUGCAUUUCUCGAAUUGAAUGUCACACAACAGAUAUAAUCAAACUAUCCAAAAAUCGUUGUGGAGGUGGAAAUGUUUGCUGCUUACAUUGAAGUUUAAAAUGAAGGAGCCGCUAAAUUCAAUUAUAAUAAAUAUUUUGAUAUUUUGUAUUUUGUUUCGUAAAUACGGUUUGUUUCAAGAUUUAAACGAAUCAAUAAAAGUUGAUUAAAUUUA